rnacentral:tRNA from 1 species
GGGGAUUCAGCUCAGCGGCAUAAGCGCCUGCCUUGCAAGCAGGUAGUCGUGAGUUCAAUCCCUG